rnacentral:rRNA from 1 species
UACGUAGGGGGCAAGCGUUGUCCGGAAUUAUUGGGCGUAAAGAGCGUGUAGGCGGUCCGGUAAGUCGGCUGUGAAAGUCCAGGGCUCAACCCUGGGAUGCCGGUCGAUACUGCCGGACUAGAGAUCGGGAGAGGAGAGUGGAAUUCCCAGUGUAGAGGUGAAAUGCGCAGAUAUCAGGAAGAACACCCGUGGCGAAGGCGGCUCUCUGGAACGCAACUGACGCUGAGACGCGAAAGCGUGGGGAGCAAACAGG